rnacentral:lncRNA from 1 species
ACUAUUUUAUGUACUGUUUAUAUUGCUUCACUUAUAUAUUUUACUUUUCAGAGUUUCAAAAAAAAGUUAUAUUCCAAUUUGCUGAAAUUAACAACAUUUUAGUAGAUAUAACUGCACAGUUCUCUAAUGAUCCAGAAGAAGGUUUUACACAACGUAAAAUUUCAGAUGAACUUAAUGUUUUGAAAAGAAAAAUUGCAAAUAUAGAUAUCCAAUACAUCGCUUUUGUAUUAGUAAAACAGUUAUCAUUAAUUAGCGGUAAAAAAUCGAGUAGAUACAAUUAAAAAUAUUUUGCUCUUACUACCAACAGACACUAUUUUGUCCGAAUACAGCAUGAAUGGUCUAAAGAAGAAAAAAAAGUUUAAAGAAUUGACAAGUCUAUGUAAUGCUGAAACUGCUUUAAAGUCAAAUAAAAACAAAAUGGAUGCCAUCCAUCCAACUUAUUGGGAGAGUAAUUAGGAAUUCUUCUGACCGAUUAAAGAAAACAUCCACUAAUAUGAAUAUCGAUCAAUGAUCGGCUUAAUUAGCUGUUGUAUUUUUUAUUUAUUUUCCAUUUUUCAGCAAUUUUCUUCUAUUUAUA